GAAACAUUUGAGCAUCUAGCAAAAAGUAACUUAAUAUGGUAUUCUGAAUUCUCGAGUAUAGCUGACAUAUAUGAAUAUGAAGAAUCUGAACCAUUUAAAACAAUACAUCGAAAUUUCCGAAAAAUCAACAAUGUUGACCUGCCAACACUUAAUGACAAGAAGUUUGCGUACUUUAUUGACGUUUCAAGACACUCUUUUUUUACGAUCGAUCCAUAUUUUACGCUUGAACGCCUCGGUAACUAUCAGUUAAUGCGAGAAGCAAUGCCCAUGCAAUACAUUGCUUCCCUAUUUCGAAGGAACUCUGUACUUUUACCGACGUACAAUAAAUUAGUUAGUAAAUGUCUUGA